rnacentral:snRNA from 1 species
AUCGCUUCUCGGCCUUUUGGCUAAGAUCAAGUGUAAUUUGACAGACUUUUAAAAAUUAUUUAAUUUGGGCUUGCUUAGAAAGCACUAUUAAUCUCU